rnacentral:misc_RNA from 1 species
GUUCGAGCGUCAUUACAACCCUCAAGCUCUGCUUGGUAUUAGGCCUCGCCUACUAGGCGGGCUAUAAAAUCAGUGGCGAUGCCAUUCGGCUUCAAGCAUAGUAAUACUUCUUGCUUAGAAGUCCGGAUGUUAUCUGCCAAUAACCCCAAUAUUUUUUAAAGGUUGACCUCGGAUCAGGUAGGGAUACCCGCUGAACUUAA